GCCGCUCCCCGGGGCCGUCCCCUCAGCGCCCCGGGCGGCUCCGAGCCGCGGAGGCCGCCGCGCCGCGCGCAUCUGGUAGGGAACUUCGCCUCCCGCCGGGGCUCCGCGCCGGGGGUGCCGCUCGGCCGUCCCGCCGCGGGGGGCCCCGGCGCCGGCGCGGGGGUGCUCGGACGGCCCCCGGGGCUCCCACCCCCCCCCGCCGCCCCCGCCCCGGGCGCCGCGCCCCGCCCCGCCCCACCGCCCCGCGCCCGGGGCCGGCCCGGACUGCGCGGCGCCAGCCCCGUGACAUCAGCCCCUCGCCGCCGCCCCCCCCGCCCGCGCCGCCCGGGCCCGGCGGCGCCGCUCAGGCGGCUGCCAUGGCGACCGGGGCUGCGCCCGCGGCGGCGGCAGGCGGCGGCCCGGCCCCGCUUCCCCCUCCCGGGCGCACCUGCAGCGGGGGCCGCCGGACGCCCCGCCAUGCCGGGAGGGAGAGGGGGCUGAGAGGGGGCGGGGGGUCCCGAGGAAAAAAGAGGGAAAAAGAUUAAAACGGGGAAAAAGCGCGCGCGGACCGCCUGACGGGAACGCGGGGAGCGGGGCUCCGCCGUCACCCCCCGCUGCCGGCUCCUGCGCGCCGUGCCCGCAGCGGAGCGCGCGUCUCUAAAGCCUCCAGUCAGAAUGUCAGUGGUUUAACAGCCUCGUGUGUGAGCCGGCAAACUUGACUUAAAAAAAAAAAAAAAAAAAGAAAAAGGAAAAGAAGAAGAAAAGAAACCAAUCGGUGAUCAUCGGCCCGUUCCCGGAGCGCUGUGUCCCCGUGCGGUGCGGGCCGCGCUCCGUGCGCGCAUCGCUUCCCGCAUUCAGCCCGGGGGCGGAGAUGGAGCACUUCGGUGGGCUUUUAUUGCUUCGUCGCUGGUUUUUUUUUUUUUUUUCCCCUUCAGAGCGGGAAAAAAAUAUAUAUAUUUAGUUACAACUUCUGCGAAACGCACCGGUCUGUAACAGCGUUUUGUGCUUUCACAAAGGAUUUUCCUGUUACUUUUGUUCCGGUCACAAAAUUAAAAGAGAAAAGAGAAAAAAAAAAAAGGCGAAAGAGAACAAAAAAAAAAAAAAAAAAAAAAAAAAAAACUUGGGGGAGAGAUAAGGUCUGGAAAACAAUCUGGAAUUGCCAGGCUGUUGGUGGGAGCUCUGCGGGGCUGGCGUCAGGAAGUCUGCGCCGCCUCUCUGACUGUUGAUCCAGCUUUGUGCAGCUGCACUCAGCACAAUUAGCUUGUAGAAACAAUCCUGCUGUAGGCAGCCUCUUCCCUUCAAAGUGCUUUUCUAUACUGAUCCCCUCACAUCGCGACGCUGGAAAUCAAGUCACAAGCCGACCACUGUUUGGCCAACAUCAUCUGUGGGAAUUCAUUAACCUCCAUCCCAGAGAUGCAACAAGAGAUUGUUUGUCCAGAACUAAACUUACAGCUUAAUAUGAUGUAGCCCAUACAGGAAAAAACCUGUGUCCCCAUUUUUUUUUUUUUUAAUUUUUUUUUUUUUUUGGUGCAUAACAAGAAACACAUUGUGCAGCUCUUUUCUCCUCUUUUUUUUUUCCUUCGGGGGGUGGGGAGCGGAGCGGGGACCAGGCGUGAGUCGGCUCCUGCUAAAACUUUGCCGUCGAGCUGCUUUUGGGUUCGUCGGGCUGCAGUUUCCAUAGAAGCAACUUAUCCCCGCGAUCAUCUUGUUGGGUGCACUUUGCAAGCUCAUUUCCCGUCUGAGUUUGCUCCGCCGCUCUCAGAUGCUGCAGCUGACACAUUUCCUCCCCGUGCACUUUGCACCCACCUCAUCCUUGCCCAGAUGCUCGGGGCUGAUUGUGCCUAAAGGGGGUUUCAUUGCGCUCCGCAGCUGCCUCGGGGGAAGGGAGCAUUAUAUAUUUAUUUUGAGUUCUGCUUUUCCCCUUCUCCAGCAGGCCUUCCUCACUGCCCCGGCCCGGCCCUGGCACAACGAAGCGGCCCCCAGCCCCCGCCUCGUGCCCGUCGUGUACGAGCUCUGCCGGUGACAUCGGGGCCCUGUCCGCGUGGGCGGCCCUGGGGAGCAGCAGUGGGGACCUCGCCCUGCUCCCAGGACUGCUCCUGGAUGCUCUGCCAUAGUGCAGAGCCCCCGGGGUCUCGCCGGCGGCAUCCUGCUCCCCGUCACCGCUGCCCGGUGCUUUCAGCCACCUCGUUUGGCCACGUGGUGCACAUUGCUUCCACGCUUCCAUUCUGAACCUCCUGCUGCGUCCCAAGGACGGCUGCCCCCUUCAUCCUCGCUUCUGAAAUGCUCCUUUGCCCAUGGCUACGUUCCCCUGUCCCCAGAGCCACCUCUCAUGGAUCCCGCAUCCCUAAUUCUCAGUAGUACCACUGCUUCCCCAAAUCCCACUUUGCUGCAGCAGGUCUGGGCAAUCCCCAGCAUGUGGUCACACCUUUGCUAGGUCCCUUUUCCAAACUCCAUACUCUUCUGUGCCUUCUUUGCAGAUGCCAUGGAUCUGCCCCGGCAAGACCUUCCCCCACUAUGCUUUUGAAUAACGUUGCUUUUGUAUGGCGAUGUUUGCCUUCAUCCCCACUUCUGCACAUCCCUCUGCUGCUGCUGUUGUAUUCCCAAGCUUGGAGGCUUGCGAGGUAUUGUACCGAAACAUACACGUUUUGUCAUUUCUUCCUGGACAUCUGUGUUUUGGGCAGCCAACGCUGGGCUACAGGAUGGACGGGUGUCUGUUCUGACUGAGCUCUGACGUGCUUAUUGCUUUAUGGUCACGCUCCCAGCUCUGCAGGAAUGCCUUUUUACUCAAACUGUAUUUUCUAGCACCACCCUGUGAAGAGGAGCGGUGUUGUUUUGCAGUCACGAAGUCCAAGUUCACACACUUCAGUUCUGAUGUUUCUUCUGUCAUGUAGGGUUUCUGGUCUCUGCAGCGGGACCGGUGCCCCGAAGGCAUUUCUGUGUGUGUUAACUGCCACCUGCAAAGGGCUGUUGCUGAGCUGAUGCUACUGGAAGAAUGUUGCCACGAAAUCCAUCUGAAGGCAACAGCUCUCUGGCAUAGGAAGUGUUACUGGUGGGAGGUGUGUUAGAUCUGACUAUUAACUCUUGCCUAUUUACCCCAAAGCAACUUGAUGGUUUUUUUUAAUCUCUUAAGUAUGGGAUAAUUCCCACUAAUUUCUUGUCUGUGCUUUAGCUAAGUGUCUCUAGAAAUGCUUGUAGGGAACCAGUUGGGUGGCUCUGUAAGUUCUGUGAUUGCGCUAAAAGUGGGGAUCAAACAAUUCCCUUCUUACAUAGGAGAUGGUCUUCAGCUACCCUGGCUCGCCCAGUGAUACUUCUAAAUUUGUAUUUAAAGUAGUAAAUGUUGCAAAUUUUACACCCCUCCACAAUUCCCUGCAAGAUCCCCUUAGGAUAGAAAGGAGAGUGGAGCUGGUGCUGAGGUUACUGACAGCACCUCACCUGCACUGAGGAGCAAACCGAGGAUUAAAGAUGGGCUUGUGCCUGUGUUAGUCACCUGCCCAGCUGCUCCAGCUCCCUCAGCCUCUCUGUUUGGCCUGACUUUGGUUUGCAGGCACAGAACUGUGUGAAUAAGGUCACAAAAUGCUCACGUUCAUUUCACUGGGUAAAGGAAGGAUUGGAAACUGCAUCGGUGGGUGAAGAUGUUAAUACCUGUUCCAGGUCGGGUCUCCACCCCCAGCUGUCUUACAGCUUAAAUCUUAUGAUGAUUAUGAGGAUAGCUACCUUUGUAUAGAAUACUCUGUGCAUUUGUUGUUACUCAGUAGUAAUAAUGUUUCAUGAACAUAGGGGAGGAAUGAAGUCUGCGCCGCAGCUGUUGUUGGUGAAUCCAUUAUCCUGCCUUCCUUCCCAGCACUUCACCUACGGGAUGAAAAGCCUUGUACUGUUAAGUAAGCAGUGUUGAUCCAGUGGUUUACUGAAGCUGUUGGUGGUUCUGUUGGGAGAGGGCCCACAGCAUUCUCAGUGCUUUUUAGCUAAUGCAUAGAGCAAAAUAUUUUACAAUCAUUCCGCUCAGGUUUGGGUGCUGGAAACGCAACGGAACAAGAUGUGUGCAGUGAAUCCCAGAUGCGCCCUCUGAAGUCCCACUGAACCACAUGAGUUCUGGAGUUUCUUAGGCUGUAAAAACUUUGCUUCUCUACGGACCCGGAAUCUGUGUUAUCUAGGUUAAGCUGACUUUCUUAGCCACUGUCUGCUGCAUUAACCCAACUGGGAAUCACAAAAUAGGUACGUGUCUAAGUCUCUGGAGAGGCCUGGUCCAGGAGGUGUGCUCAGAUCAUGCUUAAAUGCACAUUGACAGCGUGGAGCUUAGCACAAAGCACAGCAGCUGUAGCUGCUGGAAAGUUUAAGGGGGAGAGAGGGAAAAGAACUGCUUCGCUUUUAGAAAUUGUUUUUCUCGUGAGAGCACUUGCCCUGGAAGUGAGAGAUUCAAUACUCUCCUCAUUAGAGAGGUGUUACGAACUCCCUCCCGCUUGUAAAGCACCCCCAACGACCAAAGAUAAGGCUGAGGUGGAGGAUACCCACCCAUCCUGUUGAAGCUUGCCGCUGUAAAGAAAAGGAUGCAAAUUUCAAAGGGCCAGAGGGAUUACAAACAAGAGGGAGCCUGUCACUGUAGCUCUGGGGCAAAGGCAUCUCUUGGAUGGCAAGAAGCUCGAAUGCCAGGCCUGGCCUGGCAGGCUCACCCAUUCUUGAGGGUGAGGUUCAUCUCACCUUAUCUUAUUUACUUAGAAGUUUGAUGUCUUGUCUCUCCACAGUCAGUGAGAAGAGAGAACAAGAGACACCUGCAGAGAAUGAUUCAUUCUGUGCCUGUUCGACACCGCUCUGGAUGGAACAAGUCUCCUUGCUGGGUGUUGUCUCUCCCCAUCAAUUCUCAGCAGAAGCUAGACAACCAGUUCUGACCAGAAGCCUGACUUACGGGUGCCACGUGAGAUGAAUUGUACCACAGAUGACUAAUUUUUCUCAUUCAUCAUACCUGCUUUUGGCCUAUAGAAGUUGGGUCAUCAAGGAAGAUAUUGAAGAGGACAGGCCCCAGUACCGACCCCUGAGGAACACCACUCGUGAUCAGUCGCCAGCUGGAUUUAACUCCAUUCACCACCACUCUGUGGGCUCAGCCCUCCAGCCAGUGCUUUACUCAGCAAAGAGUGUAUCUGACCAAGCCAUGAGAUGCCAGCUUCUCCAGGAGAAUACUGUGGGAGACAGUGUCAAAGGCUUUGCUGAAGCCUCGGUAGACUGUAUUGACAUGCAUAAUAUAAUCACAGAAUCACCAAGGUUGGAAAAGACCUCCAAGAUCAUCUGUUCCAACCAUCCCUCUACCACCAGUAUUUCCUGACUAACCCAUACAGAUGGACUAUGCCAGAGUUGGUUCUCAGACUUUCUAGACAACUAAAAACUAUGUUUUUCUUUGUUUUAUGUUUUUCUGUGGGAGUUGACACAUUUUAGGUAAAAUACUUGAAACAGAGAGAAAAUGAGCAGUGAUUAACGCACUUUCACCAAGAACGUAUUCUUGUUAUGGUCUUGUGGAGUACUGGAGAUUUACAGAGCACAAUGUGUAACCUCUAGGCCAAAUGCUCGUAGUUGUAAGCUUUAUGCAUUUCUGAGCCAUAGUUCAGCCUGUUGUUGGAUGUGGUAAUCUUUGAUUAUGGGACUGCUUAUUCAUUUGCUGAAAAGAUGUGACUUAUGUAGUUGAGAGAGACUGUCUUCAGUGGAAGCCUUGCCUCAGUUAUUGUAAGAAGAGGCAAGAUACACCCAUAAAACUGCUGAAUUCUGCUGUGGAGGAAUUAAUUCAAUCCAUGUGUCUGCCACAAUGUUUUUUUUGUGAGAUGAUAGUGAUGGACAAGUCACUUCAAGCAGAAUUUGGUCAGGAGACUGUUUAGCACAUGGGAAGUCAGUGGGAGUUGUUCUUAAAUAUCUUAAGUGUAAUGAAAAUGCCAAGCACUAUGAAGUAACAGGUCCAAGCUAUCACAAGCUUGGCAGCCAGAACUGGAGUUAUUAACCAGUAUGUUUUCUGGUCAGCUGCUUCACAAAUAACCAUUGUCUUAAAGUUAACAGAUUAUCAUUUUUUCCUUGAAAAGUGAAUGCCCCUUUUGAGGGUAGGACAGAGUAUAUUCUAGUGAGUGGUUCAUGAGUUGACAGAUGCUUAUUGUAAUAAGUGACAUCCCAAUUUCCAGUCAGCUUUUUGGAGACUGCAGAUGGAUUUUAGCUCCUGGUCUCCAACCAGGAGCUCACAGUUGGUGCAGAGCUGGUGAGGUGACCGCCAGGAACCAAGUGAAGCCGGCAGAGAGUGAGAGAAGAAAGAUAACACCGGCUUGGUUGGAUGGGGCUGGAGGACCAGGGAAGGUACCAAUCACAGCUGAGUGAGGCCUUGGAGCCUGAAGAAGGAGGUCUAAAGAUUAAAGGGGAACAGGAGAGAAGGAAAAUUCAAGAUUCAUAUCCCUUACCAUUUCUUCUUCUUCUUCUUUUUAAAUUUUCAUUUGAAAUUAAGAACUAAAAUAAGGAACAAUGCUCAGAAAGUGAAUGCUUCUGGAGACAUUUCUUGUGUGUCUGUGCCCUUUUAUAGGUACAACAACGUAUGGUGCUUUUCACCCUAAAUCUCCUGACUUCUGGGACACAAGCUCGAGAUUGAUGCCAUGAGGUCUAUAUUAACCAUCACAUAAGUGGAAGUCUCUGGAAGAGACUCCAGAGCUGGUAGUUUGGGGCGUUCAUCUGAAACACUGGGAAUUACCAGUUGUGGUGUGAACUAGAGAAAAACAGGCUACAAAGUGUUGGUCAUUGGCAGACCUUUUAAACAUCAGGUCACUUCUCUGAGAAUUUCCUCAGGAAAUGUUCAGAAUAUUCUUGGGUUUCUUCUGAACCAUGUCAGUAAGACAUCUGAAAUACUAACAAGUGCCACAAGGUGAGAAAAUCAUUCUUCCUGACCUGGAUCCAUUCAGUGCAGUUUGGGGUACAGGAUCUUUCCAUUACAACCAGCAUCACUUUGAAGUCAUAUCUGAUACAGAACUUCUGAAUAGUUGCUGGUAUUUGACUGUGUUUGCAGAAAUUGUUUAGUACACGGUGACUGUGUUCUGCUUCAGUGUUUUUUUGUCUAUUUUUAUGUGAGCUUCUGCUCUGUUUCUGAUAGCGUUUGUAUAGAUUCUAUCAAGGAAAACAAAUGUCAUGGGGAAGUUUUAGGUAAUUUUUUUGCUGUCGGGGUGUUUUUUGUUUUUUUUUUUCCUUCUGUAAUGCAGAUGUUCCUAUUUUAAACCUGGUAAAGGCAUUUCCAUCUGAGACGGUGAUACUCUGCUUUGUACACAGAGCAGAGAGAACAGAAACACACCUUUCAAAUUGGCUCAGGGAGCAAUGUGCAGUAUACCAAUUGCUCUCUUUUCCACUGCUGUGGACAUUCCUCUGCAGGAUAAGCAGGCUGCCCAUGUGGUUGCACAGGAGUGGCUGUGCAAAUGACAUGAAACAGGCUGUAGAUACUCCUUUGGUGGAGACCCAGUAAUCUUGAUGUUUUACACACGUGGGGCCUGAUGAAGAGAUGGUAAAACCCAGGGAGACUUUCCCCAUCAGCCUCACAGCUUUGAAUUCAGUUUCAGGUGCAGUUGAGGAUGUAUAUGAAGUAUACAGCUGGGAUUUGGCUGGGAGAACACUUGCCUGUGAGAGUGGAGAGGGAAUUUUUUUCACUGCUCUGGGGUGGGUAUUGGAGGGGAAUCGUGUGCCAUAUCUUCCUGCUUUCCAAUCCAAGAUGCCAAAGUCUACCGGAGCACACAGUUGACUAGUAUAAAAUGAUACAUGCAGACCAGAAGUGGAAUACAUAUUGAUCAGAAGUUGAGUACGUGCUGACAAACCACCUCAAAAAAAACACAGUAACUUUGGCUGGAUCCAUAUGGAGCUGAUGAACCUCUGAAUGAAUAGUGAAUGGAAAAACUGCUGGAAUCUGCCUUCAGCUUUGUUCCCAGGAUGACCAAUGUAAAAGGCCUAAGAGCAAUACUGCACAGAUGGUGUAAAGAGGUUUAUGAGCAAGCAAGAAGUAAAGUGGAAUCAACAGGGAUGUUGUGAAUGGCUUUUGUAGUCCUGCUGUCACUGGGGAAUCAUGCACGUCUGCCGGUCCUGAAGCAUUUCUUGGUUGUUUAUGAGGGCUGAAAUCACCUCCUUUCAAAUUUGCCUUUUGGACUCUGCACCACUGUGGUAAAUAUUAGGUUAGCACGGGGCUGUAUAUCUGAGCUGAAAGACAACACCUCCAGCAAUACCGUGUCCUUGGCACUGUGUGGCUUCAGGUCUGACUCAGAUGGAUAAACGCCUUUGGAGGAGUGACUUGAAGUGUAAACCACACUAUCUGCUUUUAAUCUUGGAUUCUUUCCAGCUCCAGAUUUCACAUCUCUGUUACAGGCCAACAAACAGCCCUGGGAUCCAAAAAAAUACCUUUGCAACCACGCUCUAAUAAAUAAAUCUCUUUCUAUUGAUACAUACCUCUGAUAACUUCUACUGCACAGUGAAUACAUUGAUGGAUGUAUAUUAAGUGCAAAUGAAACAAUGCACAUUGCUGUGUGUAUUCAUUGUUUUUAGUAAUUGUUUGUUCAGUGAAAUAAGAUUUCACCGAGCAGUUAAGGAUAGUUUAGCUAUGCUUAACUUUUAUUAAUAAAAUUAGUACCUGAGGUGGAAUGAUUUCUUAGCAUCAACCCAAAAUAGCAGCAGGCAGAGCAGGUAGAAUAGACAUUGUCACAAGGAUUAUAGUAUUUACAUUCUGCUGAUGGUUACAAGUUCUUGAUGACAAACCAGAUUGUAUUAUAAAAUGCUAAAUUAAGAAAACAUCACACAUAACUUUAUUUUCCAUUAUUUUAAAGCAGGUUUGCGUGAAAAACAUUCACUUCUUUUUUCUUGAGAAUAGCCAUUACACAGCCCCGUGCUCUGAUCUUUUCUGCUUCUUUCACUUCGCUUUGCUUUUGCUCUUAUUCAGAACACAAUAAAUGUCACCAAUUUCUGUACACCUGGUGUAUGAAGAAGACAAAUACAAUAUUCAUCAGAGUGCCAUGUAGGCCUUUUUCUACCUCUGCCACUUUUUCGGGUAAAUUCUACUUAGCAGCUCAUUUCUGUUAAACCUUGGUGGUUUACAAUAACCUGGAGAUCCUCCUUAAGUGCUAGCAAAUGACUUAAAAAUAAACAAGAGUAAAGCCGGGCUGUGUAUCCUUCUGUGUAUUUAAAUGUGACCUUUAUUUUUUUAAGUUGCAUUUGGGAAAAAAAAAAGGCGUCAAGUUGUUGAAAGAUGAGUGCACUCCAUUAUGCUGUGCUCAAGGCUCUGAGAAAAUCCCAUUGAGUCAGUAACACCAGCCAAGCCUAGAGUGCUACAAUGCAUUUUAAAUACAUACUGGAAAAAGAAAAACAAAAUGAAUUUCCCGCAUUUAACAUUGCUGUAGUUAAUAAAGCGUAAUUACAGCAAAUGCCAGGAUUUCUUUUCAAUGGCAACCUCGUUGGCAGGUGGUUGUGAUGGAUCAGGUCAUGGCUUGAGAAUGGAAAUGCUCGUGAGAAUCAGCCCAGGUCCUUCCAAGCACACAGGUCCGGGCGUGGAUACGGGUGGAAGAGGGGCCGUGGAAGAACAUGGCUGCCUCCUCUUUCUGCCCCCUUCUAUGUUUCCUCUGACUCAUGUUACCAUCCUGAGGGGAAUUUCCUCUCCGCUCCCCCCUUGGUAUAUAUAUUCCAAGUUCAGACCCAUGUAUGCUCAUUUUUUCUCUGUUUCAUGCUUCUUGGCAGAGGGAGAAGUCAUUUAAAGCCUAGUACCACAUUGCAUACUGGGAUGUCAGUCAGGCCUACAAAAGUGUUGGUGGUACUGGAAAAAGAAGUUAUUUUGCUAGAGUAAAGGGAAAAAUAGAAACAAGAGGAUCUGAAAUAAUGAAAGAAGGCUUAGUGUGCAUGAAAACCUGGCACUUUUCUAAAGAACAUUUAAAACUGGAAACCGAGUUACUACAGUUCAGGGCUAUUUGAAUGACAUUUGUGAAUAGUUUUUCAUUUUUUCCCCCCCCAUUAAUUGUUGAAUAACUUACCCAGAAACACAUUUGCCCCUUUUUGACCAGCUUUAUGUAUGGUUGAAUACUCUCCUCCAAAUACAUUAUUCAUACAUUUCGAGCAAUCGGUGAAUAAUUUAUUCAAGAUAUUAUUUUCCAUUAUUCCAUCCUCAAUUCCAUGAACUGUGGGGAAACUCCGACUCUGUUAAAGUUAGUGAAAAAAUUCAGAAUGGUUUGAACGAUGCCAGGACUUCACCCAAUUGAAAGUCCUUUUGAGAACCGAGUGUUGCUUUUUUAAUGGAACUUCCGCUUAAAUAUUAACAGCGAAUGCCUUCCUGUGAGUUUGUCAACGUGUAGAAAAAGUCAUGAGCAGGGAUUACUUCAGCUUUUAUUAAGCAAAGUCAUUCAAGUUAUCAUUUAAAUAUAGAUAUGUGAGUGCAUAGUUAAAUUGCUCUUUGCAAGAUGUCCACAACAGAAUAUUUCCUGUCAUCUGAAGUCCUGCUUUGCAGUGAGCACAACCCUACGGCAGUUGUAGAAGAGUAGGCUCAGGUUCUGACUGGUCUCCAGUUCUCAGUGUUAUUAAAGCUAUUCAGGAGUAUACCAGAUUUUUUUAUUUUUUUAAUUAUAGCAAUCUUUCCAAGUGUUUGGCUUUUGAGGCAUAUUUAACUGUUCUGUUCUUUGAUCGGAUAAAAAUGUUUUGAACGUCUCAAAAAAAAAUCCUGGCAAAACGUAUCAGUUUUUUGUUGAAUAUUUAUUUGCAUUUUGCAACCAGUUACUGUAAUUGUGAUAUGCCAGUCUUAAUUCUCCCUGGAGAUAUGACGUGAAUUUUCACUUCCUGUCUUAAAUUUAUGUUGUGUAACUCCAUGCAAUUAAAGCUAGGCUGGCAGCGUGCCACUGUUAGUGGGUGAAAUGAUUCCUAUGUAAAUACUUCGUUUUGUACAGCUAAUUGGCAAAUGGUAUAGAGUGCUUUGGGAUCCAUCUGGAGAAAAGUUGCUGCAUAUGUGUAUGGUCAUUAUUACUGUGUUAUCUCUUUACAUUAACGUAUACGACUGCUUUAUUAUUUGCUGAGCUUCGGGAGAGUACUUAGUACUAUACAGAAGUACAGGGAGAAAAUACUGCUGCCCCACGGAGCUUACAGUGGUCUUGGCUGAGUGGGACAGCAGGUAUUGAGCUCUGUGAAAAUCGUAGGUUGAAUGUUCACAUUUCUUAUGAAUGGAGAUUUAAAACUAUCAUCUCUGCAGCAUUACGGCUAAGACGUUUUGUGCGAGAAAGGUGAAAGACAAGUGAAAAACAAGAGAACACAACCUGAAAAAGAGCAGAAAGUGAGAAUGGGAGGAGGAUUCACAUGGGGCAUUUUAGAGAUAGCUUGGAAGAGGGAGGGGAUAUUGGGAAACUUGCGCAGUUUGACAGUUAUGAUGGAGGGAAGGAAGGAGGUUGUAAAGGAAGAUAAAUGGGUGCAGAACAAAACAGAGCAGUGAUUUUAGGACUGUGAUUUGUAUUGGGCAAUGAAGAUAGUGGCAGUCUGGAGAUUAGCGGAUUGCAUAACGGGGGAAAAUGACUGCUGACUGAUGUCUGGGGAUGGAGAAGAGCUGGAGAAGGGAAGAUGAAGUGGUAAAGAAUAAAACUACACAAAGUAUAGUUUCAUAAGCCCGUGUAAUACAGAAGAUUGUGAUAACUGUUUUAAAGAAAUUGCUGUUUGAAAUUCAAAUGUUGACGUGAUUUUGUAGGAACAGGUGAUGUGAAAUUUCACUGAAAGAGGAAGAAGAACUGAGAUAAAAGGCUGGGUUUGGAUGUGGGUAACUGAAAAUGUGGCAACCAUUUCAGGAGCUGCCAGUUCAUUAAUUAACUAAUUUAUUAGUUGGCUUUAAACUCAGUUAGACCUUUCUCUAAAGCUGAAAGAUUCAGACAAGGCAUUUCUUUAGAAGUAAAUGAGAAAAAAAAAUCCUACUCCUUUUUUUUUUUUUUUUCCUUUUUAUUUAAAAUUCUUUGUGGAAAAAGAACAGUGUAUUUUUCCUCUGUUGCUCAAAUAUGUUGCUAAAACUGAUCAAUAAGGCAUGGAGGAUCUUGCAUUUUUGCAAGCAUGUGUUAAAUAGGCAUCUGCAAAGUAAGAUACCGGAACAGCUCUCUGAGAACCAUUCAUGGUUUUACUUAGUUGUUUGUUGGGAUUUGGAUAAGUCACUACUUCUACAUCUCAGUUUUUUUUUGUUGUUCUUGUUUGGUUGGGUUUUUUUUCCCUCAUACGCUUAGAGUGUAGUAUUUUAUCUCUGAAUUAAUUUAUCUGUUUAAAAUGUUUAGGGUUUGAGCCCUGUGAGAUUUUUGUCUUGGAUUUAGCUUACCUCAUCAAGGGUUUUGGCAGCUGCAGACUUGAUUUAGAUCUGAAGUGAUUGGAGUGAUGCUCUUGAGGUGUCUUUCCAUUUUUAUUGGCAAGUCAUGGAACAAAGGGAGACAGUAUUCCAAAUGGGUACCUCAUGGAGAUGCCUAUGUUGUAUCAGAUCUCUUCAGAUCUGAACUGUGUCUGUGCAAUGCAAAGCAUAAGUGGGAAUACACUUUUGGUGUACUUAUGGGAUAUUUAAGCUUCGUCACCCUAAUGUGAAGGUCACGAUUCAUUGCCUACGUAUGGAGUCAGCUCUGACAGCUCUGGAUUAUGGUUGAUCUGAAGGUAACGCUGUUCUCUUGAACUAGACACUAUGCUAGUUGUGAUAUCCAAGUUAGCCAUAUACAGUUGGAAUAUGAUCCCACAACAAAACAUAUAGUGUAGUGAUCCAAAGAAUCAAAAAAGACAGACUAUUGAAAUCUGUAUCAGAUGUUGUGUCUGAAAUACUUCAGCUUUUCUCUAGAGGGAAAAAGAGCUUGCUGUAGCAGUUGCAUGAUAUCAGCUGUCAAACAAUCUUUUAGCAGAAAACACUGUAUAAAGUAUUUUUCCAACGUGAGAAAUUAUACUUUUUGCAAAUGUAGAAAACAGCAUUAAUCUUAGCUGUUACCUGUAUCUUGUGUAGGUAGGCUGUGUAGAUCAGUGUGGAAGGCUUGAGCAAAUGAGAAGAACUGUUUAAAGUAUACAGUUAAAUUCACUUCAUAUUACUUUGAUUAAUAGUAGGUUUUUUUUCAUGCAUCAGAUCAUUUUGCACUAAUUUAGUACAACCGUGUCUGCUUAAUAACAAUCAAUAGUAAAUGAUUUCCUGCUUAAAUAUCAAUUGAAAAUGAGUGAUGUCCUGCUUCCAGCUGCACUUAGUGUCAGUCAUUGCACAUGGCACUGUUCGUCACAAGUGAUUUGUCUAUUAACCACUUUUUUAUAUCUAUAUCUCUAUAUCUCUAUAUCUCUCUAUAUUUAAGCCUGGUUUCACCAAGCCAGGCUCUGGGAUGUUAUUUAUGUUGCAUUUUAUAUGACUAGUCUCAGUGCAACCAGUCAUGUAAUAAAGAUGCCAUUUUACUAGAGUGAGCAUUCACCUGGCCCGUGAAUUGCUGCAUAAGCAAUUAGAAAAGUUUUUGUUCUAAUUCCUUUGUAGAUGAAUUAAAUGAAUGAAACUCAAAUCUACUUUAACGAUUACAUUCUGUGCUUGGGUAUGGAAACGCUGGCUGCAUUUAAAAUAUGGCAAAUAGAUGCUAGUAGAAGGAAGGCUUGGAAGUACUUUUCAUGGCUGUUUUUUCUUCUGAUGCUAUGUUAUUUUGCUGCCUGUCCGUUUCUUGUGAAAGUUGAGCCAAAAUGGCUGACAAAAUCAUAGGCACAAGGCAUUAUUAUGGGCUAGAAAGCCAUCUUGCAGCUAUGCACAGUACAUCAUCCCUCUUUCCAUAUGUCUUUGCUUACUGGUGAAGAUGAGUAGGUGUUGAAGUAGGAGGCACUACCUGAAUCAUCUGAGGAAGAAAUAAAUCGCAUGGGCAGGCAAUCUCCCGUUGUCCUAUCUGCAGGUAGACAGGUACGUUGCUUCUUCAUGUUCAGGUGGCUGCUCACUGAGAAAUGUACUUCUGUUGGACUUUGUUUUCUGCUUUAGAACUGCUUCUCCUGGAUUAUUACACUCCUUAGAGGAGAUCUCUUUGUUAGUCUCGAGCAAGACAGAUGCUUUGGCUUGAGCUGGUAAUAGUGUUGUUAGGGGGCUGACAAGCUGGGUGAAUUUGCAGUGUGGUUGUAUACGUCCUCUUCAGUCACCAGUGCUGUGUUUAACUUCACAACAUAUUCCAUCUGUGGUAGCUAACGUGGGUAUGGAAUUUAUGACUGCGAAGACUAUAACAUACCACAAUACAGGAAUGCCUCUUGAGCUGAAAUGAUGUUUUUAAUCAGUACGUUAAAUGUUGUAGUUGAUUGACAGAUGGCUUUUUCUAUUUUCUGGAAUGAAUGUACUUUAACUUAAUUGUAACGGGGAUAUCACAUCUUGUAUAACACCUUUCAUGCUAAUGGGUAUUAGAGAAUUUUAAAAUCCACGUGCAAAGAGUACUUCAUGCACCAUGGAAAUGCAACCACCUUGGGUAAAAUGCAGAGAAUUUAGGUGGAGAGAAUGUAAUUACCCAUGCUGGAAUUUGGCCAGCACACUGAGAUUAAAGCCCCUAAUCUUACAAAGAGUACCAUGGGAUCUCUAAUGACCACAAAUGGUCAGAUCACAAUUUUAUGUCUCUGCCUGUAAUGCUUUACUACAACAAGGGCAUUUUCAACUGUAUGGUGCAUUCAUUAUAAUUAUACAGCUAAUUUUAUUCUCAUUGUAAUUUCCAACAAUAAAGUUACAAAAGUGCCACUGAAAUGUACGAACAAAACGGCAUGACACUACAUUAUGUUAAAUACAUUUUUGGGGCAUAUUCUGCUCUCAUCUGCGUUGGUAUAUUUCUUUGAAGCCAAUGGAAUUCCUCCAGAUUUGCACCGAAAUAACUGACAAGUUGUCUUUACAAGAGAGCAUUUUUAUGUACAGACAUUGUAGAUAUGCUUGAAAAGUUAAAUAUUUACACUCUGUCCGAGUAUGGGGCAUUCUGUCUUCUUUUAUUUUUAAAUCCAUAAAAUUGUUAACAGACCCAUAAAAAAAAAAAAAAAAAAAAGAAAGAAAGAAAGAAAGAAAGAAAGAAAGAAAGAAAGAAAGAAAGAAAAAGAAUCCUAGGGCUCUAUGCCUGUUGGUUAACCUUCACCACAAAAAUUGAUCUGUGGGAAUUUCUCACAGUGUAACAUACUGUAUCCAAUUCCAUAGUUAUUACUGUAAACCUAUUAGUGCCACCUGGGUUUGCAUAUCCGCAGUGCUGUCCAAGUGAAGACAGAUUAGCUCUAUCACAUGUUAUGCCAGAGGGACAGCCUCACGAGGAGUCUGCCCUCAGGGAGAAAAAAAAGGGCUCAGACCUUUAAUGAGAAUACAGUGCUUUAUAAUAGCAUUUGGUGGCCUAGAGAUUUUCUGUCAAGUCAUUUCAAAUUAAAUUGGCAGCCCUGCAAUGUUCAGCCCGUAUGAGUUUUUGUGCUGCCUAUACUGCUAAUGUUAAACCAAUCCUCACAUAAGAUCAACAGAAUAUACAGAGGCAGCGUUUGCAUCAAUCCCUCUUUUCAAAGUGUGGGCCUUUAUAAGCUGCUGAAAAAAAGCUUUCUCCAGGGCAAAUUUUAGCUCUGGGCUGAAUUUUUGUGUGGAGAUUCAGGCGACUUAUUUGUGAAAGUAUUUGUAAAUUUACUUGUAAAAUCAAUUAACUUUUCUACAUAGCACAGUCAGGAAAUUAGUAACCAGACUAGAAGUGAACGGAAUGACUUUGUUACCAAUUAGAGUGACUUCACUCCCACUCCUUCCGCCUGACUCCUACUGGAAGGGGGCAGAAUUUGGCCCCGAGAAUACCAUUUAUUUUUGGUACUUCCAGGACUUUCCUUAUUAAAAUGGCUCCACCUGAAACCAGAUAUUGAUAUCCUCUUUCUUUGAGCAUGGUGGAGACACCUUCAAAAGUGGAGAACCACAAAUGGGGAAGACAAAUGCAUCUUCCUUUAUGAAAACACCCAGAUGCAAACUUGCUGGAGUUCAACUACAGGGGAUGUAUACACAUGUGUAGCGGACAAAGUUUUCCUCUCGUAUUUCUCUGCUGCUGAUAACUUCUGGUCAGCAGCUUUGUUGUCACCUAGGCCUCUCUUAAGGACAAAGACAUGAAGAGAAAUAGCACCGCUGGUUCCACUGGUCCUGUCAUGGGGAGGGACCAGGAGCCUAUGUAGGGAAUGAUCUACAGGGUUAAAAAAAGUCACCUUCAUGAAUGAGGUAUUUUUGAAGACGAAAGCAGGAUCUGAAGUUGGAAACUUCAUCAUGGAGUGCGACCAUGGUGCAUACUGCUAUCUAGCCAGUGAGGUUUUUCUAUUAACACUGACCCAAAGAGAAGCUCCGAGGGAUGAAAGGGUUAUUACAUGACCGGACACCUUGGGUCACCUGGGGACUGUUCUCCUUCUCCAGAUACAGCCUAUUUUGAAACAAGGACACUUCACCUUUUCCUGUUGAAACUGUUCCUCUCUGUGAAAGAAACUCACAGGUAUGUUUGCCCACAGAACCUGAGUCAACUCAGAUGUGAGGAGAAGUGGGAGAUCUUCAUCUCUGCUCUUCUACAGCCAUUCCUGCUGUACUUGAUCUGAAAGAUAUGUGAAGUAAAACAUUAGCAAGAAUGCUGCCAACAAUGAGAUAAAUGAAGGAUGCUUAGUGGCGGAUAAUGCUGAAAGUUGAACUUCUUUGACCGAAGAGCUACAGCUUCUUCACACUGUGAAGACUGAAGUGUUUCUAUUCCUUAAAGGAGAAUAUAUGAGGAAAUUUGGGUGACUUUAAACGCUUGAAAGAAUUUAGAUAGUGCCAAAGCUAAGCAGUAGAUGAGUGGAAAAUUAGAACAUUGAAUUUUGUUUUAAAUCUCAUCUAAAUCACCUGAAGUCUUGAGUAGGUCUAAAACUCAGCUGAUGUGUGUUUAAAAUAGCUACCAGUGGGAUGGAUUUGUUGAUAUUUAUCUCGGGAAUGUUGUGCUGAUAAAUGUGUCAAGUUCUCACCUAUUACAGUAAUAACUGUACCAUAUAUGGAUGUAGACAAAUAAAAAGGUGUUUUAAAUGGCUUGUAAAACUUGGCAGAGGACAAAUCUCAUGAAUGCUUCUAGUUGAUCACUAGGCUAUCAGAACUCCCUUUACCAGUGUUGGGUGGUUUUCUACAUUGUUUCUGUGCAAAAUACCUGUGCCUCCCAUGAGCUGUGAAUCCAGUUUUUCAAGAGAUCAUUAAACAUGAAAGUACUAAACAUCCUAAUUCUUUUCCCCUAAAGUUAUAUCUCAGCAUUGUCUUCAUCAGUAGCCUUGUCUGCAGGAAGUGUAAAGUUUCCUGCUAUGAUUGUUUGAAUGCUGCCAAUUAUCAGAUCUGCUUUUGGCAGCUUUCCCCUCAACCUGCUGAUUAGCUAAUGUGUGGUUACUAAUACAAUAUGGGAAACGGGUGUAAACGAGGAAGCAAAAGAUUUAUUAAUUUCAUGUGCUAAAUACUGUUUGUAAUAUAAUUAUCAAUACUGUGAAAAGAAAUCCUGGCUUCUUGUGAAAUGAGGCACAAGAAUUUUGUAUGGUAAACAGGCGUAUUUUCCCCUUGAUGCACACACAAUUUUCAUUAGAUUCAUAGAAUUUAAAGGCAGAAGAGGGACCAUUAGAGCAUCAAGUCUAACUACCUAUAAAACACAGGCCACAGAAUUUCAUCCAGUUACCCUGUAUCACAAUUAAUGGAAAGCAGGAGCCAGAUCCAGAGCUGGAUGCACAGCAGCGUUACCAAGCUGGAAUAAUGGUGGUUUAUACCAGCCGAGAAAUUGGCAGUGAAAAGAAAUGACAGCAGUUUAUGGAUUCUUUUUUUGCAUAAACCUAAAUGAAAUUGGUGACAUAUAUUUUAAUAGCAGUGAUGAAGGAGCUUUGAUGAAAGUGAGUUUUGCAAAAUAUUUUAAGCUUUAGAAGAAAUGUUUCUUUCCAAAGCCUUUCUGGGAUGACUGUGUUCCCAGUUGUAAUCAAAACUUGUCCCUCCACUGGAGGAAAGGCACAAAGUUAACAGAAGAAAAAUGUUUCUCUUUAAAUUGAAACCUGUGCCAAGAUUUGUGUGUGUAAUUAAUUCGAGCCCUAGGAUUUUAGCGGGAGAAGGAAGGACUAAAUAAUGCAAUAAAAGCCUGAAUUUUUCUAGAGCCAAGAGCUUGAACUCAAAAGUUCAACGAUUAAAAGUCUCAGGCGCUAAAAUGUAGAACCCGUGAUUUCUUUCAUUAGGUUCUAUAUUUGGCAAAACAAAAUGUCUCAUCACUCUUCUGUAGCCGUCUGUACGUGUGUGUGGACGAUGUUAUUAUACUUACUGCAGAUAGAGCCUUAUCAUUUAGCUACAGACAGACUUCUACCUGCUCAGAGCUACAGGGUUGAAGAAUGCACUCAGACAAUAUUGACAUAGCCAACGCCAUAACAUCCUGCAAUCUGCACAUAAACGUAGGCAUUCUGAAGACCAAAGCUCAACAAAAAAACUUCCUUCCUGCUGCCCUAAGCCAGGAGAGAGUGUUUAAAGGUAAAUACUGGUGUGGGGAGGAUAUCCUUCAGAUUCCCUCAGAUUCUCCAUCGUGUCCUGUCAGUUCUGUCUCAGGAGAAGGCAAAAUCUUUUCUGCCAUGUGAUGCAAAAAGCUGUGUCUAUGAUGUUAGCACGCAGAAUAUAUGCGUAGGUUGCCCCAAAAGUAAUGCCUCCUAUUUAUUUCCAUGGAAACUGCAACAGGUACAAAGACCACAAUAACACUGUUUGACAGAGAAAACUUUCAGCUACAAAACACUAUUUUUUCAACAUAGUCACAACCACUAGCUAUGCAUUUUUGCCAGCAAUGAACAGGAGCCUGCAUGCCGCACUUGUAAAAAUCUACACCAGUGCAGAUUACCCACUGUCACUGUUUCCACUGCUGAAACACACCACCCCUUGCCUCACUGUGCUCACAUUCACUGUUUGGUCUCCAUCAACAUUCAGCAAGCACUGGUUAAUGUCACUGGGUGCCACUUUUUCUGCAUGGAGGAAUUCAAUGACAUGCCUUUGCUUCAUUUGCACUUCUGUGUCAGACGCCAUUUUGUCAGACUGCCCCUCUGCUGCAGUCACAAGGCAAUAAAAUGUAAUGGUAUACUGACAGAUAUAGAGGUUCAGUCUCUACUGCCAUACCACCACCAUCCACCUCUGAUGUGAUGGGUCAGCAUUAUAAUAUAGAAUGCAUUACUUUCAGAGAAACCCUCAUAGAAAGGAUGACAGCUCCUUAUUCGAGUAACUGCUUAUGUGAAUAGAUAGCAGAGAGCUUCUCCUGUCAUAAUAUUCACGUUCUCAGUGAUUGUAAGUCAAGGGCUGGUUAGAGGCAUUUUAUACUUGCUUAAAAAAAGUAAACGGUAGUCAUAUAUUUUAAUAUUUCCCAUACUUUCCCCAAGAGCUUUUCCUCUUCAAAGUUAGAAGUCUGCCUCAACUUAUAACAGUACAUUUUUUUGUGCCACUGUCAUGUGGAGGAAAAAUAAUUUUUGCCCAAAUAAACAUCAGAACACAUGUUCUAGUGCUUACCAAUAAAUCUUAUUUUUCUUGCCCUGUAUUUACUUUAAACAGGACUAGAGGAUCCAACCCUUCCUUGAGAAAUGAUGUUACUCCUUGUCUUUACCCAGAUUUGUUCCCCAUCCUUUGGGAAAUAUUUAUUUACCUCCUCAUUUACUCGUGUUGUACCACUAUUUGGUAACAACACACUUGCCUUCAGACUCUACAACAGCAUCACAUGCUUCAGCCUACUGCAAACAACAUCUGCCUCAUGAGUACACCAGGCUCCUGAACUGUUCUUACCAAAACGCCUACACCUAAAGUUCAUUCAGCUCUCCGUACAAAAAUUGAGAAAAAAAAUACCUACCUGCUCUAUGCAUCUGGGCAAGACCAACCAACUGACAAUGCCUUAAAUACUGCCCCAGAACAUCAGCCUGCUAGCCUAUGUCAGUUGCUGGCAAUGCGUUGUGUUGUGUAAAGGCUACUCUUCAGUCUCUUCCUUCCUCAAUACAGCAUCAUUUGCCCAAAUAUGUGUGCAGAGUGUGCCAGUAUAUCUUCACUGAGAUGCAACAUAAGAUGAGGCAAAACAUGAGUGCCAUGGAGAGGCCAGACUGGGGAGGUUCUGACUGAGGUCUGAACUGUAUGUUGUGGGAAACUCAGUUUAGCCCUGUGUUUAUUUCUUGGUUCCAUCCUUCAUUUCCCAGGCCUCUAGGCUGACCUCCAAGGAACUUUAAAAAGAUUAUUUUCCAAAGGCUGAAAUUAGGGUAUUGCUGUAGAAAAAUUGGCUAUGGUUUACAGCCUUGCCAAAUUAAAUUUAGCUUCAGUAAAUGUGACAUGAAAUCUGUAUAGUCUCACCAGUUAAUAAAAGUCCUUCUUCAGCCUCAUCACAUAUAAAUAUCAGUAAUAAAAAUUUUUGACAAUCAUAAGAGCACUGUAUUGAAAGAAGCUUUGCAUUUUUAGUCUGGUGAUAAAACACAGUCUGCAUAUAGUUCCAUUUUGUCAUCUGCUUGUGGAGCACUUCUUUCCUACGCUGAAAUUAAAAUUGAAAAGACUUUUUCACUUUUGGGGGAAAAAAAGCACAAUUGAAGAGAGAUUCUUACUGGCAAAUUAAUAGAUAAGGUCUGCCAUGCUAACUCAAAAGCAAGCAAAAGGUAAAAAUUGAAUCUCUUUAUCACAGUUAAGUCAUUUUUCUAAACUGGAAAGUAAUAUAGGAUGGAAUAUAUGGGAUAGAUUCUCUUACAGAAAGUGCUUUCAAACUUUAAAAGAUCCAUAACUAAUAUUGGGAAUGGUUAUAGAUGACAGUCUUCUCUUUUAGAUUAUGUUGCAUUUAUUACAUUCUACCAGGACUUUAUGGAGAUUCUCAAGGAAUUAAAGUUAUAUUUAUGAUAAAAACAUGGAGCUGCUUCUAAAUAGCUUUUUCAUCAUAUUAACUGUUGCCUAGAUAACAGGCAUAUCUCCUCAAGCACCUCCAUUCUGGUUUAGCACUCCAGCUUGCAAAUUAAUACAGUCAUUAUAAGACAGCAAAGCUAUAUCACUUACCAUUUCAUUAUUGUUCAAAUCAAAAUCCACAUUUUUUCAGUUUUCCCUAGGGUUACAAACCGGAUAGGGAAAUGUUAUCAUCUUGCAAAAUAAUCUCUCAAGACUCACUCUUUGGUGUUAAAAGGAGCAGUUAAUCAUAUUACACUAAUUUUCAUAUUAAUAGGACCUGUGCAAAGAGAGAGUUAAUGCUCUCCUUCAUUCAGUCCUCCAACACUUUUUUAGGUACAGAUAUAUUUUUGUAUGUGUAUGGGUAUAUAUUUAUACAAGUAUAUAUAUAUUAAUCUGCUUAGAGCUAGAUUAGCACAAAAGAUAUCACGUCCUACUCAGUAGAUGAAUCAGGGUCAAACCAACAGCAUGCCCUUAAAUUUUUAAUCAAAAUGGCAAUCUGUCAUCACUAAGAGAGUUAGGUAAUGUUUAUGUGAAUAACAUGAACAUAUAGCAUGUUUUAAUGGAAGAUACAGGGGAUAACUUACUGUGCCACAGGGAAGCACUCCAUAGAAUACCCUGCAGAUACUUCACUACUUACACAAGAAGCUACGAUCCUACAGCAUGCAUAUCCACUCUAAGAUGAAAAUUAUCUUUAAACUCGAAUUAUACUUUAUGAGGGAUUAAUGUGCCCUUUACUUUUGAGAUCUUCUCACAUGCUGUAAUUUUCUGAAAUCUUCUCACAUAAUGUUGCUCAGUCAGUCUCAUUUAGACUCAGAGCUUUAAUGUAGUGUUGCCAUUUCUUGUCUUUUUUUUUUCCUUUUUUCUUUUUUUCCCAGCUACUAACCUGAGCAAUGCAGUCUUUUCAGAAGAACUUGAGUAUGAAUUUAGGGAGCUGGCCAAGGAAUCAGGUGUUCUCCUUGUUUUAGGCAGUCUGAACAUAAUACAUGGGACAGCUCUGCAGAGAGCUGAGGGACCUGAUUCUGCCAUGCUCCUUCUCUGGCCUGGUUCAUCACAGAGCUAAUAAGCACUAUGAAUGGGUACGUGGAGCCCAGUGCCAACUUCAUGCAACUGCCUGGCUUCUGAACCAGUCCUCCUACCCCAUGAAGUAGAGCCUACCUCUUCUUUGGCAGUGCUGGAAGAUAUUCCCUUGGCAAACCAUUGCUUUCUGCAGCCAUACGCCCCCACUUUGCUAAGGUCUGUUGUGGUAACAAUGCCAUCUCUCUCAGUGUCAUUACUCUCCACGUCUUUGUUCCCCAGGGGUCUGAUUGAAAUCAAUGGAAAGUUCCCUUGGAUUGCACUGGUUUUGGUUCUCAGUUUCUACUCCUUAAUUCCUCAUCUGUUUUUAACUCAGUUUUCAAUUUAGUCUCAUUCUGCUGCUGCAUUCUUCACGUCUUCUCCCACUUUUUUGUGCUUUUAUUCCUAUUUCUGACCCUCUCGACAACUGUUAAACUAUUUAUGCAGUGAGCAAAAUGCAGAUUAAACAAGUGCUUUCAGCGUUGAGUUGAAAUGUGUUGACAGCAUCACAUGAGGCCUAGAGGAGCCAUGGAGAAGUGGCGCCAUUUUGGGAGAAAAAAAGCUAGAAAAAGAAUUCUCAUCAGAUUGGAGAGCUCACCAUGGUUUUCUAGCAGCACUCCUGUCUGCUUUAAUGAAUUCAUUAGUCCACUACUAUUAUGCAGAAAUAAUUGUAACUGGUGAUAUUUUUAUGACUUGUUUAACGAAACUUGAGGGCAGAUGGAAUUGGGUCCUACCCUCACUAUACCAGCGUAAACUGAGAGCGCUGUUAUUCAGACCUGUGUACUUGUGCUCUUCUUGAUUAACAGCACUUUAAAAGAAAUUAGACUCUACCAUAUUCCUGAAUUUCAGAUUGUGUACUGUAUUUCCAUUUAUAACCUGACAUAAUUCCCACACAGCACAUGGUAUUAAUCUGGUGUAAACACCACGUUAUGAUGAUACUUGAACACAUUCAGCUGAUGUGAAAAUGUCUUCAAGUACAAUAUUUCCAGAAGCAAUUAUGACUAUAUGGCUGGUGGUUAGCUUGCUAUGUGAAUUUUUAUUUCUUAUACAUGUGCACAAAGAUACACAAGAUUGAAUAUUAUGUAAGAAAAAUGAGGUAUUUUUUAGCAUUUGUUAAAAAAAAAAAAAAAGAAGAAGAAGAAUUCAGGAGCAACCACUUUUUUAUUGGCCUGUCAGGCCAAAAUCUCACCUUUAUAUGAACAAACCGCUUUUGUAGUGUUGGAAUUUCCUGUGCUUGCUUUUGAGGGUGGAUGUGUCUUUAGUGCAAGGAAUACAAUGACACAAAGUGAUACUGAGAACAUUUUGGUAUGAGAAAAUUCUCUCCAAAAUAAGCAUUUAAGGAAAUAUUUAAGUUCUCAGUAAGUGUAAUACUCCUGAUGUAUAAAGCUCCAGACAUUGACCUCUACUGGUAAUCAAGCAUUUUUCAGUGUUCACUGAGAGGGGAGAGACACCAGCUUCUUGUCCAGGUAGAUGCCAUGGGUGAAAUUCUUCAGAAAUUGCCUAACGCUGGAGGAAAGCCAAUAAUUUUGUUAAAAAGAGAUAAAUAAAAGCAUGUCUUUUGGAAAGUAAAUGCUAGCGGAUGGUAAUAUUUUUGCUUGAACACUUGCCAGUAGGGCCAGAUUCACAGCUGGUGUAAACUUUUCUGGUGCCACUGAGUUAACUCCAGUUUGAGAUGGAAAAUUCAUUUAUUAGGAUGAAGUGCAGCUUUUUCACAGAUUGCUUGUAGCUCCACCUGCUACCCACACUCUCCUUUUUUUUUAGCCCUUCCUAGUCCUUUUUUCCUCUUGAGAAUCCUUUCUUAAAUACACUCCUAAGACAAGAAAGAGAAGGCAACCUCAGUACCCAUAAUGAAAAGGAAAUGCUCAACAAUGCAGUUCUGUCAUUGUUAGUAUAAAUCUAUAAUGACUUCAUUUCAAUUACUUCCUACUUGUACUACAGUGAUUAACAGUAGGUUAAGCUGUUCACGGUUUAGUAAAGUGAGUGUUCCUAGCUUGUUCCCAUCAUCCAAUGCAAUGUCUUAGUUUUAGAAGAGACACGGAUAAAAAACUGUUGUGAAGUGAGUGGUAAAUCUGGAAUAACUCCAUUGAAAAUUUACACUAGUCUGGCUAAGAAUUUCAUUUUACCCAUUUGGUUGGAUUCCUUUUAAUGGUUUCUGCAUGUUCAAGCAUCCACCAGAGCUGAGAUGGAAACCAGCAAACUUGCUGUUAUCUGUGCUGCAGGCUGGACACCAGAGGUGAGAGGGUAAUGCAUUAUCACACCACACCACCUGGCCCAUCCAACGCAAUUCAAGCAACCAUAAUUGUAUUGAUUAUUUCUUGUGCUCAUGACUAAUGACCUCUAGCUGCAACCUUGCAUUUUCUAAAUCUUUUAUAUAUUCUGAUUUAAUAAUAAGAUUUGAUUAAAAAUUGCCAUUAGCCAUUGCCAACGAUUAGUCAGCAGGACUGAGUGCCGCCAAAUUCCAAUGAGUUUCAUUAUUCUGGAAUUAAAAAGGACAGAGAACUUCUCCGGGUUAACAAUACAAUGAUUCUGUCUCAAUCAGGAAUGAAAGAAAACAACUCUAACAUACAAAUGUAGCAAAAUAUAUGGCUAUUCUUAAUAGCUGCAUUUUACAGGGGAGUGUUUGGAGAAUUAAAGGGACUUUGUCACAGAUGGUAGGAACAGUUUGCUUUGAACUGGAAUGCCAGUGUCAGGUAGUGUUUGAGGGGGCAUUUUUCUAACGGAAGCCAUCUCCUUUGGUGAAACAAGACCUGGGGUUCACUUGGUUUCUCCACCAGCAUCUCUUCCACAACAAAACAAUGCAAAAUGUGUAUAGGCAAAAAUAAACUGGUGGCUUUAAAAAAUGACAAGGGUCAUGGUCUAGGUUAUGUGCCUGCUGAGAACAGAUUAACCUAAGGUUUUCUUUAAAUUAUUAUUAUUUUCAAAACAAUGGCUUAAUAUUUAAACAAAAAGACACGUUGUCACACCUUCCAUAGGAAAUAAAAAAAGUAUGGCCAUUCAGGAAGGUGGAAUACUUAAAUAUAUACUAAUUUUCAGACAUCUAGUGAAAUGCUGUUGAGGUGCUGUCUGGUAUGGAUAUAACUCAGCACACUAGCACACUUCUAAGAGCUCUUCCAAAUCCAAGUCAAGGCCCUGGUGUUCCUAGAGAUGGGAUUCACUGGAGAAGAUGCUCCAUGGGGAAAACAUCUGCUGUGGGAUGUGGUGUUCCCCCAGAUCCCAUUGAAAUCGGUUGAAGGGCUGGGUGACGUUGAAGUCAAUGAGAGCUGAGAGCACUCAGCACCUUUCAGGUUCAGACCUCUAAAUAAUAAAGGACCCCUGAGACACAGUAAAAGCAUCUCCCCCUGUUACACAGGAGCAAGAGAAAAUAUGUCCCAAACCCGAGUCCUCUAAGAUUUUUAGGAUGUUUGAAUAAAUAUAUAUAUAUAUAUAUUUUAGUUUUUGUGUACAUAAGAUCUUUUUUUUUUCACCUUCAGGAAAGUAAUUUCUAAGCAUACUUUGUUAAUAAAGAUUUCUUUUGGCAA